rnacentral:rRNA from 1 species
GAUGAACGCUGGCGGCGUGCUUAACACAUGCAAGUCGAACGAAGCACUUUAUUUGAUUUCCUUCGGGACUGAUUAUUUUGUGACUGAGUGGCGGACGGGUGAGUAACGCGUGGGUAACCUGCCUUGCACAGGGGGAUAACAGUUGGAAACGGCUGCUAAUACCGCAUAAGCGCACAGCAUCGCAUGAUGCAGUGUGAAAAACUCCGGUGGUAUAAGAUGGACCCGCGUUGGAUUAGCUAGUUGGUGAGGUAACGGCCCACCAAGGCGACGAUCCAUAGCCGACCUGAGAGGGUGACCGGCCACAUUGGGACUGAGACACGGCCCAAACUCCUACGGGAGGCAGCAGUGGGGAAUAUUGCACAAUGGGCGAAAGCCUGAUGCAGCGACGCCGCGUGAGCGAAGAAGUAUUUCGGUAUGUAAAGCUCUAUCAGCAGGGAAGAUAAUGACGGUACCUGACUAAGAAGCACCAGCUAAAUACGUG